rnacentral:rRNA from 1 species
UACAGAGGGGGCAAGCGUUAUUCGGAAUUAUUGGGCGUAAAGGGCGCGUAGGCGGCUUUGCAAGUGGCGGGUGAAAUCCCUCGGCUUAACCGAGGAACUGCCUGCCAGACUGUGAGGCUUGAGACCGGGAGAGGUGAGUGGAAUUCCCAGUGUAGCGGUGAAAUGCGUAGAUAUUGGGAGGAACACCGGUGGCGAAGGCGGCAUCCUGGACCGGUAUUGACGCUGAGGCGCGAAAGCCAGGGGAGCAAACGGG